GGUCGAAAGAGGAAAUUCAUUCGCGUGUCGAUCGUCGAGGUUGAACGUUAGUAUGACGGAUGAUGCGCUUCGGCGCAUUAAACCGCAUCUUCUGUUCAUCGAAUCGAUGUCGAACGCGUGCACUUUUCCUCUAGUAGGACGUCGUGAUCCGUUGGGUGUCUGUCUAAGACUCGGGGUGGAGCCCGCGUAAUUUUCGUGAUUAUGCGGACCCUCGAUGUUCCGACAGACUCGCUCGACGGUAUAAAUAUGGCGCGGGGCCGCUACAUUAGUUAGCGUUCGGCCCGUAGCAAGCACGUUUCGCGUUUGACGGCGAUCGGACCUAGUGCCGAUUCUGUCCCGGAACGACUGUUGGUUACGGUGUUCUCUCGAACAGACCUCG
rnacentral:rRNA from 1 species